rnacentral:sRNA from 1 species
UAGGCUUAGGCUUAGACUUAGGCUUUGGCUUAGGCUUAGCCUUAGGCAUAGG